UGUGUGUGUGUGAGAGGGAGAGAGAGAGAGAGAGAGAGAGAUCAACCAGUAAUCAGCAACAUUUUGGGUAUUCUAUAUUUUGGGUCCCGCGACCCUUGUGAGGAUAAAGCGGAUCAGAAAAUGGAAGGAUGGAUGGAUAUAUUUUGGGUGUUAAAGUGAUUUUUUUUUCAAAAGACAAUACAAUUCUGGGUGUUAAAUUGAGUGAUAAAAAACACAGGAGAGACCUAACAAUGGUAUUGCCUCCAGGUUGUGAAAGACAAGCCAUCACAUCCCAAAACAUGGCUGCAGUGAGCACUGAAGGACAAAACCCAACAGAGGGCAAUAGGGCUUUGGUCUGAAUUCAAUUUGGGUGCAGCAAAAAAAAAAUCAUGUGCAACCUGCCCAUGGAGGCUGGAAAGAGGGAUGG